UAUGCUUGCAUAAAUGAUUUUUGGAUUCGGAGCGAGUGGCGAACUGGUGAGUAACACGUGGGUAACCUGCCCCGAAGCGGGGGAUAACAUUUGGAAACAAGUGCUAAUACCGCAUAAUUAGUUGGAACCGCAUGGUUCCAACUUGAAAGAUGGCUCUGCUAUCACUUUGGGAUGGACCCGCGCCGUAUUAGUUAGUUGGUGAGAUAAAAGCCCACCAAGACGAUGAUACGUAGCCGACCUGAGAGGGUAAUCGGCCACAUUGGGACUGAGACACGGCCCAGACUCCUACGGGAGGCAGCAGUAGGGAAUCUUCCACAAUGGACGAAAGUCUGAUGGAGCAACGCCGCGUGAGUGAUGAAGGUUUUCGGAUCGUAAAACUCUGUUGUUAAAGAAGAACAAGUGUUAGAGUAACUGUUAACACUUUGACGGUAUUUAACCAGAAAGCCACGGCUAACUACGUGCCAGCAGCCGCGGUAAUACGUAGGUGGCAAGCGUUGUCCGGAUUUAUUGGGCGUAAAGCGAGCGCAGGCGGUUUUGUAAGUCUGCUGUGAAAGCCCUCAGCUCAACUGAGGAAGUGCAGUGGAAACUACAAAACUUGAGUACAGAAGAGGAAAGUGGAACUCCAUGUGUAGCGGUGAAAUGCGUAGAUAUAUGGAAGAACACCAGUGGCGAAGGCGGCUUUCUGGUCUGUUACUGACGCUGAGGCUCGAAAGCAUGGGUAGCGAACAGGAUUAGAUACCCUGGUAGUCCAUGCCGUARACGAUGAAUACUAGGUGUUGGAGGGUUUCCGCCCUUCAGUGCCGCAGCUAACGCAUUAAGUAUUCCGGCCUGGGGAGUACGACCGCAAGGUUGARACUCAAAGGAAUUGACGGGGGCCCGCACAAGUGGUGGAGCAUGUGGUUUAAUUCGAUGCUACGCGAAGAACCUUACCAGCUCUUGACAUCUUCUGCCAACCCAAGAGAUUGGGCGUUCCCUUCGGGGACAGAAUGACAGGUGGUGCAUGGUUGUCGUCAGCUCGUGUCGUGAGAUGUUGGGUUAAGUCCCGCAACGAGCGCAACCCUUAUUAUUAGUUGCCAGCAUUUAGUUGGGCACUCUAGUGAGACUGCCGGUGAUAAACCGGAGGAAGGUGGGGACGACGUCAAAUCAUCAUGCCCCUUAUGAGCUGGGCUACACACGUGCUACAAUGGAUGGUACAACGAGUCGCGAAACCGCGAGGUCAAGCUAAUCUCUUAAAGCCAUUCUCAGUUCGGAUUGCAGGCUGCAACUCGCCUGCAUGAAGUUGGAAUCACUAGUAAUCGUGGAUCAGCAUGCCACGGUGAAUACGUUCCCGGGCCUUGUACACACCGCCCGUCACACCAUGAGAGUUUGUAACACCCAAAGACGAUGG
rnacentral:rRNA from 1 species